AGUGUAGGUGGCCAGGCAAGUCAGAAGUGAAAGCCCGGGGCUCAACCCCGGGACUGCUUUUGAAACUGCAGGGCUAGAGUGCAGGAGGGGCAAGUGGAAUUCCUAGUGUAGCGGUGAAAUGCGUAGAUAUUAGGAGGAACACCAGUGGCGAAGGCGGCUUGCUGGACUGUAACUGACACUGAGGCUCGAAAGCGUGGGGGGCAAACA
rnacentral:rRNA from 1 species